ACUAUAUUUUUUACGAUAUCUCUGUGUUCAAUUAAGGGGAACGCUUGAUUGAAUAAAGCAAGAAAAAGGUCACGUCGGCGACUUUACUUUGGGAAGACUUGCUUGAACGUUUCAAAACAGUUUGUUUAAUCUGUUGAAAGGUUUUACUAAGGAACAAAUAUGAUUGGCCGACUUUCCACAGUAGUUGUAAGACGAGGUUUUUCUCAAUCAGCCGUCAGAGCUGGGGGCCAUGGACCACCCACAGCACAAGACAUGCUACCUUUCAAUCCGUUCCAAAACAAAUGGAAAUUGAUGGUAAAGAUGGGAUUUUUUAUCGGAAGUGGAUUCUUUUUGCCAUUCUACACCGUGUACAGCAAUUUGAAGAACCAAGCCGAGUCUACUUAACUUUUAAUGUGCUAUGUAUCAAUUUUGAAUGUUUUCAAGAAAUCUAAAUUUUGUUCCACAGUUCUGUUUGAAUAAAAAUGGUUUAAUUAAAAAUGAAUUAUGUGAAUAGCAAUAGAAGAAAGAUUCCGGGUGUUGGGGCCAAACAUAUUUUCUGCACAAUAAAAAUGUUCCUACAAAAAUA